rnacentral:rRNA from 1 species
AAUGCUGACAUAAGUAACGAUAAAGCGGGUGAAAAGCCCGCUCGCCGGAAGACCAAGGGUUCCUGUCCAACGUUAAUCGGGGCAGGGUGAGUCGACCCCUAAGGCGAGGCCGAAAGGCGUAGUCGAUGGGAAACGGGUUAAUAUUCCCGUACUUGGUGUUACUGCGAAGGGGGGACGGAGAAGGCUAUGUUGGCCGGGCGACGGUUGUCCCGGUUUAAGCGUGUAGGUGUGUGUUCCAGGUAAAUCCGGUUCACUUUAACACUGAGGCGUGACGACGAGGCACUACGGUGCUGAAGCAACAAAUGCCCUGCUUCCAGGAAAAGCCUCUAAGCAUCAGGUAACAUCAAAUCGUACCCCAAACCGACACAGGUGGUCAGGUAGAGAAUACCAAGGCGCUUGAGAGAACUCGGGUGAAGGAACUAGGCAAAAUGGUGCCGUAACUUCGGGAGAAGGCACGCUGAUAUGUAGGUGAAGUGAUUUACUCAUGGAGCUGAA